CCUGGUUGUUAUAGCAAAGGGUUAAAACCGGAUCCCAUCUCGAACUCAUUGGAGAAUUCCUUUAGCGCCGAUGGUACUUAGUCUUAAGGCUUGGGAGAGUAGGACGUAGCCAGGC
rnacentral:rRNA from 16 species